rfam:Felis catus isolate Cinnamon breed Abyssinian chromosome B1, whole genome shotgun sequence.
GCCUGGGUGGCUCAGUCGCUUGGGUGUCUGACUUCAACUCAGGUCAUGAUCUCGCAGUUCAUGAGUUCGAGCCCCAUGUCAGGCU